UACGUAGGGAGCAAGCGUUGUCCGGAAUUAUUGGGCGUAAAGAGCUCGUAGGCGGUUUGGUAAGUCGGAUGUGAAACCUCCAGGCUCAACCUGGAGCCGCCAUUCGAUACUGCCAUGACUUGAGUCCGGUAGGGGCCCACGGAACUCCUGGUGUAGCGGUGAAAUGCGCAGAUAUCAGGAAGAACACCGAUGGCGAAGGCAGUGGGCUGGGCCGGUACUGACGCUGAGGAGCGAAAGCGUGGGGAGCGAACAGG
rnacentral:rRNA from 1 species